GACGAACGCUGGCGGCGUGCUUAACACAUGCAAGUCGAACGGAAAGGCCCUGCUUUUGUGGGGUGCUCGAGUGGCGAACGGGUGAGUAACACGUGAGUAACCUGCCCUUGACUUUGGGAUAACUUCAGGAAACUGGGGCUAAUACCGGAUAGGAGCUCCUGCUGCAUGGUGGGGGUUGGAAAGUUUCGGCGGUUGGGGAUGGACUCGCGGCUUAUCAGCUUGUUGGUGGGGUAGUGGCUUACAACGGCUUUGACGGGUAGCCGGCCUGAGAGGGUGACCGGCCACAUUGGGACUGAGAUACGGCCCAGACUCCUACGGGAGGCAGCAGUGGGGAAUAUUGCACAAUGGGCGGAAGCCUGAUGCAGCAACGCCGCGUGCGGGAUGACGGCCUUCGGGUUGUAAACCGCUUUCGCCUGUGACGAAGCGUGAGUGACGGUAAUGGGUAAAGAAGCACCGGCUAACUACGUG
rnacentral:rRNA from 1 species